rnacentral:rRNA from 1 species
GACCUGCCCAUGAAUAUUUAAAGGCUGCAGUAUAUUGACUGCUCACCGGGCACAUGUUCCUUAAUCUUUUGUUUCUAAGCUAGAAAGCUGGGUUGAAGGCUCCACAGUCUGUUUCAAUUACUCUUUUAUAAUUUAAUUUUUUAUGACCUGACCUAGAAUAUUUUUAUUAGACGAAAAAACCCUAUAAAAUUCUAUUUUAUUUAAAAUUAUUUAAGUAAAUUUUAUUAAUUAAUUUUUAAUUACCGUUUGUUUGGGGUGAAAUAAUAAUGUAAUAAACUUAUUUCCUUAUAAUCAUUAAUUACCGAUUAAUUGAUCCAGUUUUAAGAUUAAAGAAAAAAUUACCUUAGGGAUAACAGCGUUAUUUUUUUUUAUAGUUCAAAUAAAAAAACCCGAUUGCGACCUCCACGUUGCAAUACAAUAAACUAUUGGGGUAAAAAUUAAUAAUACCUCUCUGUUCGACUUUUACAUCUUUACGUGACC